AAGUUAGUGAGGCGGUUGUACGGAACACCUUAUCUUAUCAAGAGGCAUGGGAAAUGUCAUAUUUUGGGGCAAAUGUUUUAUACCCUCGAACUAUCAUUCCAGUGAUGCAAUAUGACAUUCCGAUCGUUAUAAGAAACAUCUUCAACCUCUCUGCACCUGGAACAAAAAAUUGCAGGGCACCCAUCAUUGAAGCUGAAGUAAAACAGGACUCGGUAGCUUAUGUAAAAGGCUUUGGAACCAUAGACAACUUGGCCCUUGUAAAUGUCGAGGGAACUGGAAUGGUUGGUGUUCCGGGUACAGCC